rnacentral:misc_RNA from 1 species
GAUGAAGAACGCAGCAAAAUGCGAUAAGUAAUGUGAAUUGCAGAAUUCAGUGAAUCAUCGAAUCUUUGAACGCACAUUGCGCCCGCCAGUAUUCUGGCGGGCAUGCCUGUUCGAGCGUCAUUUCAACCAUCAAGCCCCCGGCUUGUGUUGGGGACCUGCGGCUGCCGCAGGCCCUGAAAACCAGUGGCGGGCUCGCUGUCACACCGAGCGUAGUAGAUUUUCAUCUCGCUCGGGGCGUGCUGCGGGUUCCGGCCGUAAAAAGCCUUAUUUACCCAAGGUUGACCUCGGAUCAGGUAGGAAGACCCGCUGAACUUAAGCAUAUCAAUAAGCGGAGGA